AUGGUUUUAGAUAUGGCACCACGAGGAAGACCUCCGAAGCAUGUGUGCAACAAGUGCUAUAAGAACUUUCCUUCAGGGAGGGCUCUUGGAGGCCACAUGUCACUCCACUGGCGCAAAGUGAAGCAGCCAAAGGGAACACCAAGCCCUCCUGCCACUGUUGUCGACUUGAAUGUGUCGCUGCUGAGUCCAAGUGAUGAGGAGACUUUCCUGCGGUCCUCAGGAACACAAUGCCAGCUGUGCUCAAAGGUGUUCUCUGCCUGCGAUUCUCUGAGGAAGCACAUGAGAGAGCACAGGGAGAAGAACGUCUUGAGUAAGCCCGCCGAAGAAGCAGCUGGGCUGAUGGAAGCUCGGGUCAUUGCUGGUGGUGGCUGCAAUGUCCUGUUAUCCCCUGUGAAGCGCAAGCGGUCAAAGAGGGGGGUACCACCACUCAAGUUCAAUGAGAUGGAUGCUGCAGCCUCUCUCCUGCUGCUUUCAGAGCAUUCUAGCAAGAUUUCAGCUUAUGAAGAUUGCUAUACAGAAGUUAUGGACAGUUUUGCCCCCAAUGUGUCGAAGGAUGUGAAGCUGAAUGCUUUUGAUCAUCAACUGGUUCGAUCUGCUGAGUUCAAGAAGCCGAAAGGUUGCAAGUGUUCAGCUUAUGAUAUUUUCUAUGGGCAAUGUGUUAAGGACAACAACUUGAUCCCCAAUGUUGCCAAGGAAAAAACUUCGAUCCCUAAUAUUGCCAAGAAUUCAGCUUGUGAGGAUUGCUUUGGACAAUGUGAGAAGGACAGCAGCUUGAUCCCAAAUGUUGAGCUGAAGGAAAGAAGUUUGAUCGCCAAUGUUCCUGAGAAGGACAACACUUUGAUCUCCAUUGUUCUUGAGGAGGUAGAGCUGAAUGUGCUUGAUCAUGUGCUGGCUGGAGAUGCUGAGCUUAGGAAGAAGCAAAGAACUGACAAUUCAGUUGAGAUGAAGCGUGCUGAUCUUUCAGCUGCAGUGAAGGUCAAGAGGCACCAGUGUAAUGCCUGUGGGAAGUCAUUUGGGUCAGGGUCAGCGUUGGGAGGCCACAUGAGGUGGCACCUUCCUAGAUCCAAUGAUCGCCGUCAUGGGUUCGCCGAAAGCCCUGAUUCUGUUGCGAUGAAAGAGCAAAAGCAGAAGCUUGAAUUGGACACCAAGUUUCUUGAUCUCCAACUUCCAGGUCUCACUGACAUCACUAUUUUCUCGGGCUUGAAAUCUGAACCUGAGCCGUGGCGUGUUGCAAGCAGCGUUCACUGA
rnacentral:rRNA from 1 species